rnacentral:tRNA from 1 species
AAGAUUUUAAGUUAAUAAAACUGUGAGCCUUCAAAGCUUGAAAUAAGAAAAAGUUCUUAAAUCUUG